GAGGGGGUAGCUUAGCAGUAGAGCACUUGUCUGCAUACACAGGAUCCUGGAUUCAAUUCCCAGCACCUCCA
rnacentral:tRNA from 1 species